AAAAAAAAAAAAAUCUCCCUUUAGAAUCCUCAUUUCUUUUCCCUCAUUUUCUAUAAAAGUGAAUUUCACCAUUUCUUAUUUUCUUUUUCACUUCAAUGAUGGAUAAUAUUAUUAUGAGGUAUUGGUUUGAUAGUAUUAUCCCUCCUUGGAGGAAUAAGAGAAGGUGAAUUUCACUUUUAUAGGAAAUGAGGGAAAACAAAGUAGGGAUUUGAAAGGAGAAAAAUUGUUUUAGGAGAUUUAAAAGGAGGGAUUUGGAAGGAGAUUUCAAAUAAAGAGAACACACCCUAAAAGUUCCCCUUCCUUUUAGGAGAUCCAUUUUUACUUUUCAUGUUCUUCAAUAGCAACAUGAAACUGAAUGUACGAUGAAUUUGAAGUUGGUUAGAACACUUGCUAGAGUUUUGCACACCCUUAAAAGCUUUAUUUAUUUUUUAUUUUUAUCUUCAGAGGUACUAUUUUCUUACAUUUUCAAUUAACUUUUCUAUACAUCACUAUGUAGGUAUGCUGUUCCACCAAUACCUGGUUUUGGUGGCAGUGACCUCUUUCCUGGCCCAGGGGCUGGAAUGUACCCUUCCAGGUUUGCAUUUGCUACUACUUGUUAUAUUUGGAUGCUUUCAAGUUCUUAUUUGUGACAUUGAAUUGCGCAUUUAUUUAUUGGCAAAAUUCAUUUAAACUUCUCUUACAGGGGUGAUUUUGGAGGUGGAAGCAUGUUGGUUGGUACGUAUCUGGUAUCUAUUGCAUGUAUAAUAUGAAAUAGCACUUAUUCUGCUAGUCUUACUUUUCAUCAUGUGUUUGCAGGUCCUCAAGAUCCACGGUUCUUUGGGGAUCAAACUCGUGGACCCGGAUUUCCUGGAGGUCUACCGUGAGUUACCCUUCUCUUACUUUCUUUAUCUCUGACAGCUUGCUUAUAUGAUCAUAUGUAUUUCUUGCUGGUCUAACACAUUUAUCCUACAGAGGUGUACCCCCGGGUGCCCGCUUUGAUCCAUAUGGACCUCCUAAUGUACCUGGCUUUGAGCCUGGUCGAUUUACCAGGUAGUUUACACUGAUUCGUUGUCUAGUUGAGUAAUAAGUACACGUCACAGAUUAUAUUAGCAUGAAUGAUUUACUCUUUGGUAGAGUCCAACUGUCCAUGACUAUAAGGGUGUUUGCCUAAGCUUAUUUUAAAGUGAUGAAUACAUGAAUGUAUGCAGAAAUCCACCAAGAUCUGGAGGAGGAUUACAUCCAGACUUGCAGCACUUCCACGACGGCUCGGAUUUUAUAUAGCACAAACCAAUCAAAUUUACAGGAGAGAAAAUGUUAUUUCUGCUUUUGAUCACAUUAGUGCCAAAUGUGGUAUAUAUAGCAAUAAAAUGUAAGUAAAUGAGUACACUUUGUUUAGUUACUAUAUACACCAGUAUAUAAAUAAUUUUCUUCUUUUUCCGGUGAGACUUAAUUUGUGGUGAACUAGCUAUCUAUGUUAUGUUUUUAUACCAAAUUCUAAGAGUGAACAUUCAUAUUUAUCUAAUACCUUUUGAAUAUACAUUAUUUUUUACUGUAUUCUUUUUUGUGUAGUGUAUUUUUUUUCUUCUAUGCUUUAGGAGAUUGUGGCACAUGGUGAGAUAAGGAAGUUCUAAUUUUAUAAAAUCAACAGAGAUGGAUAUAGACAUGUACUCUUUCUCGAAACUUUUGAGUAAAUAAUUUGAAGAGACAAUAAUAUGAUAUAAAAAUACCAUUGCGUGAUGUAGGGCUGGGGAAACAUAUUAAAAUCUCGGUAUAUUGGUCAUACCGUACUGAAAAAUAUCGUAAAAGAUCGAACUUGAGGUAUGUAGAACUAGUUAAUACUAAAAUCUUUAAUGGCUUAAUUCAGCUCCUAAAAUCUCUAUCCUUCUAGCUUUAUUCACCUCAAGUUCUCAACGAUGAGUAAAACUAAUUAAUACUAAAAUUUAUACCUUAAUAGUUUUAUUCACCUCCUAAUAAUUUUAUUCACUUCAACGAUGCGAUACUCGGUUGAUACCAUACUUCACGGUUUCCAAUUCAAAAAUAUACGAGAUGAUUUAUCAUCAAUCUCCGAUUUGUAUUUAUUUAUUGAAAAUAUUACUUUAUUUCUAUAUAUUUAUUUAUUUAUUUUUAUUUUUAUGUUUUUAAAGGGAAAAUAAAUGAUAUCAUGUUUUUUUAAAAAUUUUAACUAUUUCUUUUAUUUUUAUUUUUAUUUACUACAAAUAAGUAGUAAAUAUUUUCAUAAAUUAAGUAAAACUUGAAUUACCGUUGAAGAAUGGAUUGACAAGAAUGCCCUCCACGUCACAUGCACCAAAAUUCAAAAACAAAUUGAAAGUGCGCUCUUCUCCUUCAUAAUAUGAACCAAAAACCCUAAACCCCAAUUAAUUCUCAAUCUCCCAACUCUUGAGAUCCUACCACGAGCAAUGUUCUCUCCUCCCGCGAAGAAAUCCGGCUUAAGUGCUCGUAAAAAUGCAUUCGAUCGGAGAGACGAAGAAUCCACGCCACUCGCCGAGAACCGGAGGCCGUUGCUCGACAGCCCCGCCGUCCCCAAUCGCCCCGCCACCGGCACCCCUGCCCCUUGGGCCUCUCGCCUUUCCGUUCUCGCCAGGUGCUGUUCCCACCGUAUUUCUCUGAAUUUAUUCAUUUCCCCCCGUCAAUUGUUGCUCUUGGUAGCAGUGAUGCCUUCCUAGCCUCGCGUGUUGUCUUUGCGAUGUCAUUUGGUUUUGUUGAUGUUAGAGGAAGGUACAACUCCUGACUCCUGAGGUGCGGGGGCUAAGUAUAACUCAAUGUGUAGCGUCGAUUAAGACGGAAUUCGAUACUUCAGAUGGUGUGUGUGAGUGUGCGUGUCGUGCGCACUAUAAUGCUGAUGCGAUUUAAUAUAUUUUCUCAAGUGAUUGCUGAUUUUUCAGUUUGUUUGGUUAACUUUGUGUAGAAGAGAACUGAUCCAGUUGGUGGUCGUUACUGAUACUUAGCAUGCUUGAUACCUUAUUUUGGAAAAACUGCCAGCCUAUAAGUUGACUCUUUGUUUUAACUCAUUGAUGAUAGCCUUGUUUCGAUCAUAGUUUUCCAUCAUUUAUAGCAAUCUGAGAACUAUAAAAGUACUCUAAAGAACAGCAGGUUUAGAAAGCCAAACCAGUUUGCAGUAGGUACUAUUUUCAAUAAACAAUACAAUCCAUAAAUCUACUUUGCCUUCCACAAAAAGAAGAAAAAAGGCCAAAGUAAUUAUCAGAAAAUGCUUUUAAACAUUCUGAAUCUCACAAGUAGGUUCGUAGUUUAAACUGGAUGUUUGUUAGAAAUGCAAGGCUGGAGUGUGGACUUUAUAUUUUUAUUGGAUACCAAUGAAUGUGAUCUCUAUGUAUUCAAUUUAAGUGACAGAUCAAUAUCAACUUGUCCUUUUGAUGAAAUAAAAUAUAUGGAGCUCGAUAUGGAUCUUUUUCUCAUCUGCUAGUUGAGGGAAAAAUAAUCUCAAGAUAUUCAGCAACUGACUGAAUGGACGUUGUUGUUAAAAUACUCAGAAUCCCGCCUGUGAGAAAAAGUGACAGUGGUGAUGAGGCACACAGGCCUGUCUAUAUUGGGGAGUUCCCUCAAGAAGUACGUGAUGCUCAAAUCAUAUCAUCACAGAACCGUGUUCCUGGUUGGUCCAGCAAACUUAGUCCCUGAGUACAUAUUGUUAUUGAUUUAUUUCAUUUGUAUGAUAUUGAUUCCUAAUACUAGCCUUCUCGCAGCUGAUACAUCCAUCUCUGGUGGAAUGGACAAGGCGACAUCUUUUGCUUGGAUCAUCUGUGGAAACAAACUUUUUAUCUGGAAUCACUUAUUGACUGCUGCUUCAAGAAAAUGCAUUAUCCUUGACCUCACGUCCGUCACAUCAGAAAAUGGAGAGAUGGGGAAAGGUUAUUCUCAGAAUAAUAAUUGGUUAGUGUGUCUUAUCAACUGGGACGGCUCAAAGAAAACUGGCAGCAAGGUAACUCAACAGUCCAGUUCUGCUGGAAUUGUAAUGUGCAAUAAGAAGACUCGCACUCUAGUUUUCUGGCCAGAUAUAUAUAAUGCUAAUAGGGUUCCACCACUCACUUGUGUUAUACGUCAAAAUUAUUCCAUCAAUUCUUUGAUUGCUUCAGCUAUCCCUUCUGCCACCAAUAGCUGCAUUGCUCUAGCAUGUAGUUCUGAUGGUGUGCUCUGUAGAUUCUUAUGCACCCCAACUGGUAUUGAGCCUAAACAAAUUAAGCAUGGCAUGUCAAGUACAUUUUCUCCUGGAGUUGAUAGUAGCCAACUUGUGGCAAGUAAUGGAUACCCUAGGUCGUUGAUUUGGCACACUUUUAGUCAUUCAUCAGAUGAUACUACCAGACAGUUCCUUCUACUUACUAAUCAUGAGAUACGAUGCUUUGCAUUGGAACUUUCAGCAGAGUUUAAUGUGUCGGAGCUUUGGUCACAUGAAAUAAUUGGGACUGAUGGUGAUCUUGGUAUCCAGAAGGAUCUUGCUGGCCAAAAGAAAAUUUGGCCUCUUGAUUUGGAUAUUGAUGCUGAUGGCAAGGUAAUAACUGUUCUUGUUGCUAUCUUGUGCAAGGAUCGGGUCACCAGUUCAAGCUACACUGAGUACUCUCUUCUGACCAUGCAAUAUAAAUCUGGUGUUGAUAUUGGUGAGACAAUUUUGGAGAAAAAGGCACCUAUCCAAGUGAUUGUACCUAAAGCAAGAGUAGAGGAUGAGGAAUUUUUGUUCUCUAUGAGAUUGAAGGUAGGUGGCAAGCCAGCUGGCUCUGCUUUUAUACUUUCUGGUGAUGGUACCGCAACAGUCUCCCACUACUGGAUGAACUCAACCAAACUUUAUCAGUUUGACCUGCCUCAUGAUGCCGGAAAAGUUCUUGAUGCUUCAGUCUUUCCUUCUAUUGAUGACAGUCAAGAUGGAGCUUGGGUUGUGCUCACUGAGAAAGCAGGAGUUUGGGCGAUACCUGAGAGGGCAGUUGUACUUGGUGGCGUUGAACCACCUGAAAGAAGUCUGUCACGUAAAGGCAGUUCCAAUGAUCGAUCUUUACAGGAGGAGAGAAGAAACUUUUCUAUUGCUGGGAAUAUCGCUCCAAGAAGAGCUAGUUCAGAAGUUUGGGAUGCGGGUGACAGGCAAAGGGCAGGCUUAACAGGAGUUGCCCGUCGAAGCCCACAAGAUGAGGAAUCGGAAGCUUUACUAAGUCAGCUUUUCCAUGAUUUUCUGUUAUCUGGGCAGGUUGAUGGUGUUCUUGACAAACUGAAAAAUUCAAGGGCAUUCGAAAGAGAGGGAGAGACAAAUGUAUUUACCAGGAUAAGUAAAUCAAUUGUUGACACACUAGCUAAACAUUGGACAACAACUAGAGGCCCUGAGAUUGCUUUAUCUCUUGCGUCGGCACAACUUGUCGCGAAGCAGCAAAAGCAUCAAAAGUUUCUUCAGUUCCUUGCAUUGUCAAAGUGCCAUGAAGAAUUGUGUUCCAGACAGAGUAUGAUGAUUUUUCCAAUUAAAAUAUUUUCUGGUUCUGUUUUUUGUUUGAUUUUGUUCUUGUAAAACCGAUGGUUAUUUUAUUUUUAAUUUGUAGUUAAGUGGUGUUUAUAAAUAUAUCUCUAGAAUCUUAAGAUUGUCUUUCUUAUGUAGCGAAUAAGGUUACAUUUUAAAUAGAGAUGAGCGAGUCCUGCCCUUCAAUGCUGCUUUCAUUGUAUCGUUCUCCAAUUUUCUAAUAAUUUUGACCUAUCAAACUUAAUCCUUUAUUCUCUAUGCCAGGAGAAUCUAUGCAGACUAUCAUGGAACAUGGAGAAAAGCUUGCUGGCAUGAUCCAAAUGAGAGAACUGCAGAAUACGAUUAGCCAUGAGAGUACAUCUAGACUUGGAUCCUCUUAUGGUUCAGAUGCUCAGUCAGUCAAGACUUUCUGGAGCUCUUUGGGACUUAUCCAGUUGUUGGUGAGAGGAGAGAGCCCGCCGAAACACAGUUCUUUUGAUGGAUAGGGACAACGCUGAAGUUUUCUAUAGCAAGGUUUCAGAUCUCGAGAGUUUUCAUUGCUUAGAGAACAGUUGAAGGAUGUUAUAUCAGGAAGAUAUGCCGGCACCUGUUAAUUUCGUAGAGUUUGUGAACUUUCAAGUGCUUGUGUGAUGUUAUUCCAUGCAGCCUUUCAGUAUAAGAGUGAAUAUCGCUUGUGGUACCCUCCUCCUGAAGGCUUGACACCAUGGUACUCCAAAAGUGUUGUAUGGAGUGGGCUAUGGAGUGUUGCUUCAAUCAUGCUUCAGUUGCUCAAUGAAGCAAACCGCCUUGAUGGUUCUGAAAAGUUUGAUUUCUACUCAAAUCUUGAACUACUUACCGAAGUAUUACUUGAGUCGUAUUCUACUGCUAUCACAGCAAAAUCCGAACGAAAGGAAGAUCAUAGGACUCUAUUGGAAGAAUAUUGGACGCGUAGGGAUGCCCUUCUUGAUGCCCUCUACAACCAAGUGAAGAGUUUUGUGGAAGCCAAACUGCAGGUUACAUUUAUGCCCCCUUUAGUUUCUAUGUGGAAGCUCUGUACAAAAGUUCUAGAACUGAUAGUAAGAGAUUGACCUAUGUGCAGUAGGAUUUUACCCGUUGUUAUAUUUUUUAGUAAUAAUUGUGUCUUAAAUAUUGAAGUAUACUGUGCCAUUAAACUAAAGAGUUCAAGAUGUGAGUUAAAAGAUCUUCUUUUUUUUUUUUGUAAUAAUAGGCUUUACAUUGAGGGGAGUGGAUGAUUUCUUGGGAAGAUUUUUCAUGGAGUCUGAGUUCCAAAAGGAGAUAAAAUUAAUCAAUUGAAACACACGAGCUUGUAAUAUGGAUCACUGCGCUGAACAGUUUGAACCAUGUACAUAUAUGAAAAAUAAUAAAAUAUAUUUAUAUUAAAUGAAAUAAAUAGACCAUGAAAUAGCUUGCUAUGUAAGUACAUAAGGAUGGAGGAACUUUGUUAAUACAAUGAACCUGAAAUUCUUGAUCAUCAGGUCCUCCUAAAGCUAAUUGGAUGCUGAUAAGACCUUUAUUUAACAUUAGACAGAGUAGUGUUCUCUGCAACUCAGAUUUGCUUGAUAUUAUCGUACCUCCAGAGUACAGAGAAAAGGGAUCUCAUCCUUUAUUAUUCACCUUUUUAUGUUGCAGGACUCAGAUGAAGAAAACAAAGAGCAGUAUAAUGAUACUCUUAUGACCCUUUCUUCAAAAUUAUUGUCGAUUGCAAAAAGACAUGAGGCCUAUCGGACUAUGUGGAGUAUAUACUGCGACCUCGAUGAUUCUGAACUCCUCCACAAUCUCAUGGUAUGAAUCUGAAGUGCUCUGUUAUUAGUACUGCUGAGUGCAGCACCACUUCUUGCAUCAGCAAAAGAUUGGCUCUACUAGUCAUGGAUGUUAUUCCAAUUAUGGUUUAUUGAUUUUUUUUUUGGUUUGUCAUUAUCAUGUAGUGGCAUGAUGGGUAUUUUUUCCUUGGGCAUUUAAAUAUCUGCCCAAUCAUCUCCUCUGCUGUGAUUUUUAUCUAAUAAAAAUCUUCUCUUUUGUAGCAUGAAAGCAUGGGACCUAAAGGAGGUUUCAGUUGCUUUGUCUUCAAGCAAUUAUAUGAAAGCAAACAACUUUCGAAGCUUAUGAGACUGGGUGAGGAGUUUCAGGAUGAGUUAGCUACAUUUCUGAAGCUUCAUCCUGAUCUUCUUGGCUUCAUGAAGUGUUUCUUCAUCAAUUUUCCUCGCUUCUGAGACAUUACAUGCAUUAUCUGUUUCUAAGGAUGAUAGACCAGUUUCUUCUAUGGAGGAUGCUGGAGCAACUGGCUCAAGGCGUCAAUUAAGUUUGGCAAGUAGAAAGCAUUUUCUAAUCUUGCAAAGAUAUCAGCAAUGGCAGGUACAUUUACCAGCUACAGGAACGUCUAUAUUUAUGUCCUGUGAGCUCAAUGCAUCCUUUUGUUGCCUAAAGUUUCAGCCCUUGACUGUGUAUCUUUUGACAGAUUAACAUCCCUCUCUGCCUGUCAAAAUUCGUUUGAUGAGAAAUUGGAGUAUCCCUAAUACUUACUUUCUUAAGUCCAUUUGCAUAAAUAUCAGGCUGUCUGACGAGCUUAAAUAUAUGUUGCCAUGUAGGUGUUCUAAGGUUCAAAAUUUACUUUGUUGAUUCAGUUAGGGAUUAUAGCAACUAUAAAAUGGAUACAUGCAAUUUGUUCAGUAAAGCAAAGAGCAAAAGAAGCACAAGCAUGAUUGCACAAUUUCUCGUGAUUUGUAAUUUUUGGGUUGAAAUAUCAUUACCAUGUAGUUAUUUCAUGAGGUACGAGUUUCCUUGCAGUCUAUUUGGGCAGAACAAAAAUGAUUAAUAACGUGUAAAUAUAUUUGUAACGUGUAAAUAUAUUUGUAACCUUUUCCUUGAGCAUCUGAAUCAGUUGGACAGAACAAAAAUGAUUAAUAACGUGUAAAUAUAUUUGUAACCUUUUUUUAAUAAUAAUAUUUGACAAGUAUCCCUCUAAAUUAUAUUAAAGCCAGUUGUACAUCCAUACUUGGGUAUUUAUUUGGGGGUUUCCCAUCCUGAGAAAUGUUCUUACCGUGGGAUUUCUAGGAAUUGAAAUAGGAGGCAUCAAUUUAGAACAGUGAUUCUGUUUGGCACCACCUUCCAUAAUUCUUUUCCUGUACCUGACAUUGUGAUGCCUGUGAAAUUUGUUAAGGGAGAGAUGCAGGCUAUGAGCUAAAGGUCAAGCGGAUUGAUGCAGAUCUAAGAAUUUUACAGCUACAGGUAUGCUAAUAACCAUGUUCUUUUAAUAACUUUUUACCCAUUCUGAGGCUACCUUAGAGAAGGUUCCUCAACAAUUAAACUGACGAUAUAACCAGUCUUUGGAAUUUUCAAUUAGGUCUCUGUAUUGUUGGUAUAUGAUGUUGGUUGAAGUGUCUUAAUGGCUGUAGCGUGAUUGAGAAAGUUUUUCCUGGAUUGUUAUUUCCAAUAGUUCCCUUUAGUCUGAUGAAUCCUGGUGUUGAUUGUCCUUCACUAUGUUUUGUUUCUUGUUUGGUCUUGUGAUGCUAAUUUAAAUAUUGAGAUGUGUAUUCCAAUCAAGAACCUAUGAAUGAAAUGAAAGCAUUUGGUAAUUUGGAAUAAUACUACUUUCUCUCUCUUACAGGAAGAGAUAUUGAGGCUUCUACCUGAUGAAGAAAAGCAAUUAGUUGGAGAAAAGCUUCUUCCUCUUACAGACCUCAUUGAGUUAUGUCUAAAAAUUCAACACCCGGAGCUGUCGUUGCGAGCCUUUGAUCUUUUCUCAUGGGCCACUGCCUCAUUUCUUAGAAAUAAUACUAGCCUUUUAGAAGAAUGCUGGAGAAAUGCCGCAAAUCAAGACAAUUGGGGAAAACUCUAUCAAAGGUCCAUGACCGAGGGAUGGAGCGACGAGAGCACAAUGGAGGAACUCAAGGAAACGGUUCUGUUUCAAGCUUCCAGCAAGUGUUAUGGACCUGAUGCAGAAACUUCUGAUGGAAGCAGAUUCGACGAAGUGCUCCCGCUGAGGCUAGAAAGUUCCGACCACCCAGAUUCCAAGUACGCGAGUUCCUCUGUCGAAGCUGUCCUGAUGCAGCACAAGGAUUAUCCAGAAGCCGGCAAGCUGAUGCUGACGGCAUUGAUGCUUGGGAGCGUUUGGGGCUCUUCUAGCAACCCCCCGUCUGUCAUGGACUACGAAGGUUCUUCCCCAAUGAAGUGAAACAGUAUUUGUUAGUUGCUUCGUUAGGUCUCUAUAGUUUGAAUCAUUUUGUCUCUUUCACUUGAUUCAACAUAGUGCAUUCAGUGAGAAAUUAGGUGGUUGCAGGUUUUGACAAAUCCAUGUACAAAAAAGCUCUAAGUAAUGAGCUUCAAAAUGUUUUUUGAAUGUAGAGCUUUGCAAUACUAAUUUGCUCUUUUCUCAUAUUGUACAAUGAGAGAGAGAGAGAGAGGUUAUAUGUCCAGGUGUCCAAUUGUAGGGUGUGGAAUAUGUAUGUUUUAGUGUGUGUAGUGUGUGCUUGACAGAUGCUGAAUUGGAUAGAUUAUAGAUAUGUAGCAAUAGAGUUUUGGAUUUUUGAGUGCCAGGUGGCGAAAUGAAGGCCUCGGCUUCUCUUGGGAAAAAUCUUGCAGGAAAUCUUGAUCCCAAAAACUGACCAAUUGGCUCAGGCUGACGUGUAGAUAUUGUGAUCCAAAAUUUCAUCUCAUUUUCCCAUAUUAUAUAUAACCACCUCCACAUUAACUCCUACCCCAUCACAACAACUAAGUUCCCAACAGCUUAAACCAGAAAGAGUUUUGAGGCAAAAAUGGCAACUUCAGCAAUCCAACAAUCUGCAUUUGCCGGUCAGGCAGCGCUCAAGCCACAGAAUGAGCUCGCCCGCAAGGUCGGUAACGUCGGAGGCGGCCGCUUCACCAUGAGGCGUACCAUCAAGAGCUCUCCCCAAAGCAUCUGGUAAUUAUAAAAUCGUAACGACUAUUUUAUUAAAGCAUCUAUCUACGUCUUAUGUGAGUGAGUUGACUAGUUAAUCUAAACUAACGUUUGAUUUGGUUUGGUCUUGAUUGAUAAAAAUAGGUACGGACCAGACAGGCCCAAAUACUUGGGCCCAUUCUCCGAGCAGACCCCAUCGUACCUCACGGGGAAUUCCCCGGUGACUACGGCUGGGAUACUGCCGGACUCUCGGCCGAUCCCGAGACCUUUGCCAGAAACCGGGAGCUGGAAGUAUCCACUCCCGUUGGGCAUGCUCGGCGCGUUGGGCUGCGUCUUCCCCGAGCUCCUCUCGAAGAACGGCAUCAAGUUCGGAGAGGCCGUGUGGUUCAAGGCCGGAUCCCAAAUCUUCUCCGAGGGCGGGCUCGACUACUUGGGCAACCCCAACUUGAUCCACGCCCAGAGCAUCUUGGCCAUCUGGGCCAGCCAAGUCGUGCUCAUGGGCUUAAUCGAAGGAUACAGAGUCGGAGGAGGUCCGCUCGGGGAAGGCCUUGACAAGGUCUACCCCGGCGGGGCCUUCGACCCGUUGGGCCUGGCCGACGACCCAGAGGCCUUUGCUGAGCUCAAGGUGAAGGAGCUCAAGAAUGGAAGAUUGGCUAUGUUUUCAAUGUUUGGCUUCUUUGUGCAAGCCAUUGUGACUGGAAAAGGCCCAAUUGAGAACCUGUAUGAUCAUGUGGCUGAUCCAGUAGCCAACAAUGCAUGGGCCUUUGCCACUAACUUUGUGCCUGGCAAAUGAGAAUCUGCGUAGAUGUGUUGUACACUUUGGAGACUGGGUUGUACCUUUCAUCAAAUGAGUGAAUAUGUUUUGUGGUCUAAAAUUCUUUUCUUUCUUCUGCAAAUUGAACUACUUUGUCAUUAUUCAACAACAUAUUAG
rnacentral:lncRNA from 1 species